ACUAAGCUACUAACACAGAGAGAUAAUUCAUUCUUAGAUGGGAUGUAAUGUACUGCAUCUGUUAGGAGGCACUUUCCGAAUUAAUUACUCCGUCACUCCCUCCCCUGCCCCAUCUCUUUCCUUAGUUCUUACAGUCCUAGUCGUGGCUCACUAGCCUGACCCUGCCUGAAGAGAUAGGAAAGGAACUGUGCUCCACGUAAAUGAACCUGCCUCACCCUCAAAAUAAUCCAGAGCCUGGAUCAUCCCACAUGGACGCUACUGGACCGGUGGCCUGCAAGAUAGAACCAAGAAACUUUCUUCCCAACUGUUAUAAAAAAGAACAGAACAGAAGAGAACAAAACACAGCAAUCCUUAGAUUCUCUCCCAGCCCACUUCCCCUCUGGAAACCCAUUUACUGUCUCCUUCUAGUGUAUUUCAAUAAAUUCUCCUGUGUUCCAGUUAA
rnacentral:sRNA from 1 species